AGUGAACGCUGGCGGUAGGCCUAACACAUGCAAGUCGAACGGCAGCACAGUAAGAGCUUGCUCUUACGGGUGGCGAGUGGCGGACGGGUGAGGAAUACAUCGGAAUCUACUUUUUCGUGGGGGAUAACGUAGGGAAACUUACGCUAAUACCGCAUACGACCUACGGGUGAAAGCAGGGGAUCUUCGGACCUUGCGCGAUUGAAUGAGCCGAUGUCGGAUUAGCUAGUUGGCGGGGUAAAGGCCCACCAAGGCGACGAUCCGUAGCUGGUCUGAGAGGAUGAUCAGCCACACUGGACCUGAGACACGGUCCAGACUCCUACGGGAGGCAGCAGUGGGGAAUAUUGGACAUUGGGCGCAAGCCUGAUCCAGCUAUACCGCGUGGGUGAAGAAGGCCUUCGGGUUGUAAAGCCCUUUUGUUGGGAAAGAAAAGCAGCAGGUUAAUACCCCGCUGUUCUGACGGUACCCAAAGAAUAAGCACCGGCUAACUUCGU
rnacentral:rRNA from 1 species